rnacentral:rRNA from 1 species
GCUCAUGAUGAACGCUAGCUACAGGCUUAACACAUGCAAGUCGAGGGGCAGCAUGGUCUUAGCUUGCUAAGGCCGAUGGCGACCGGCGCACGGGUGAGUAACACGUAUCCAACCUGCCGUCUACUCUUGGACAGCCUUCUGAAAGGAAGAUUAAUACAAGAUGGCAUCAUGAGUCCGCAUGUUCACAUGAUUAAAGGUAUUCCGGUAGACGAUGGGGAUGCGUUCCAUUAGAUAGUAGGCGGGGUAACGGCCCACCUAGUCUUCGAUGGAUAGGGGUUCUGAGAGGAAGGUCCCCCACAUUGGAACUGAGACACGGUCCAAACUCCUACGGGAGGCAGCAGUGAGGAAUAUUGGUCAAUGGGCGAGAGCCUGAACCAGCCAAGUAGCGUGAAGGAUGACUGCCCUAUGGGUUGUAAACUUCUUUUAUAAAGGAAUAAAGUCGGGUAUGGAUACCCGUUUGCAUGUACUUUAUGAAUAAGGAUCGGCUAACUCCGUGCCAGCAGCCGCGGUAAUACGGAGGAUCCGAGCGUUAUCCGGAUUUAUUGGGUUUAAAGGGAGCGUAGAUGGAUGUUUAAGUCAGUUGUGAAAGUUUGCGGCUCAACCGUAAAAUUGCAGUUGAUACUGGAUAUCUUGAGUGCAGUUGAGGCAGGCGGAAUUCGUGGUGUAGCGGUGAAAUGCUUAGAUAUCACGAAGAACUCCGAUUGCGAAGGCAGCCUGCUAAGCUGCAACUGACAUUGAGGCUCGAAAGUGUGGGUAUCAAACAGGAUUAGGUACCCUGGUAGUCCACACGGUAAACGAUGAAUACUCGCUGUUUGCGAUAUACUGCAAGCGGCCAAGCGAAAGCGUUAAGUAUUCCACCUGGGGAGUACGCCGGCAACGGUGAAACUCAAAGGAAUUGACGGGGGCCCGCACAAGCGGAGGAACAUGUGGUUUAAUUCGAUGAUACGCGAGGAACCUUACCCGGGCUUAAAUUGCAGAUGAAUUACGGUGAAAGCCGUAAGCCGCAAGGCAUCUGUGAAGGUGCUGCAUGGUUGUCGUCAGCUCGUGCCGUGAGGUGUCGGCUUAAGUGCCAUAACGAGCGCAACCCUUGUUGUCAGUUACUAACAGGUUCCGCUGAGGACUCUGACAAGACUGCCAUCGUAAGAUGUGAGGAAGGUGGGGAUGACGUCAAAUCAGCACGGCCCUUACGUCCGGGGCUACACACGUGUUACAAUGGGGGGUACAGAGGGCCGCUACCACGCGAGUGGAUGCCAAUCCCCAAAACCUCUCUCAGUUCGGACUGGAGUCUGCAACCCGACUCCACGAAGCUGGAUUCGCUAGUAAUCGCGCAUCAGCCACGGCGCGGUGAAUACGUUCCCGGGCCUUGUACACACCGCCCGUCAAGCCAUGGGAGCCGGGGGUACCUGAAGUGCGUAACCGCGAGGAG